rnacentral:rRNA from 1 species
AGAGUUUGAUCCUGGCUCAGAUUGAACGCUGGCGGCAUGCCUUACACAUGCAAGUCGAACGGCAGCACGUGAGCAAUCCUGGUGGCGAGUGGCGAACGGGUGAGUAAUGUAUCGGAACGUACCUUUCAGUGGGGGAUAACGUAGCGAAAGUUACGCGAAUACCGCAUAUUCUGUGAGCAGGAAAGCAGGGGAUCGCAAGACCUUGCGCUGAUUGAGCGGCCGAUAUCAGAUUAGCUAGUUGGUGAGGUAAAGGCUCACCAAGGCGACGAUCUGUAGCGGGUCUGAGAGGAUGAUCCGCCACACUGGAACUGAGACACGGUCCAGACUCCUACGGGAGGCAGCAGUGGGGAAUUUUGGACAAUGGGGGCAACCCUGAUCCAGCCAUGCCGCGUGAGUGAAGAAGGCCUUCGGGUUGUAAAGCUCUUUCAGCCGGGAAGAAAUCACAUGGGUUAAUACCCUGUGUGGAUGACGGUACCGGAAUAAGAAGCACCGGCUAACUACGUGCCAGCAGCCGCGGUAAUACGUAGGGUGCGAGCGUUAAUCGGAAUUACUGGGCGUAAAGCGUGCGCAGGCGGUUUGUUAAGACAGAUGUGAAAUCCCCGGGCUCAACCUGGGAACUGCGUUUAUGACUGGCAGGCUAGAGUAUGGCAGAGGGGGGUGGAAUUCCACGUGUAGCAGUGAAAUGCGUAGAGAUGUGGAGGAACACCGAUGGCGAAGGCAGCCCCCUGGGCCAAUACUGACGCUCAUGCACGAAAGCGUGGGUAGCAAACAGGAUUAGAUACCCUGGUAGUCCACGCCCUAAACGAUGUCAACUAGGUGUUGGGUGGGUAAAACCAUUUAGUACCGGAGCUAACGCGUGAAGUUGACCGCCUGGGGAGUACGGCCGCAAGGUUAAAACUCAAAGGAAUUGACGGGGACCCGCACAAGCGGUGGAUGAUGUGGAUUAAUUCGAUGCAACGCGAAAAACCUUACCUACCCUUGACAUGUCCAGAAGCUCUUAGAGAUUUGAGUGUGCCCGAAAGGGAACUGGAACACAGGUGCUGCAUGGCUGUCGUCAGCUCGUGUCAUGAGAUGUUGGGUUAAGUCCCGCAACGAGCGCAACCCUUGUCGUUAAUUGCCAUCAUUUAGUUGGGCACUUUAACGAGACUGCCGGUGACAAACCGGAGGAAGGUGGGGAUGACGUCAAGUCCUCAUGGCCCUUAUGGGUAGGGCUUCACACGUCAUACAAUGGUCGGUACAAAGGGUUGCCAACCCGCGAGGGGGAGCUAAUCCCAGAAAGCCGAUCGUAGUCCGGAUCGUAGGCUGCAACUCGCCUGCGUGAAGUCGGAAUCGCUAGUAAUCGUGGAUCAGCAUGUCACGGUGAAUACGUUCCCGGGUCUUGUACACACCGCCCGUCACACCAUGGGAGCGGGUUCCGCCAGAAGUAGGUAGCCUAACCGCAAGGAGGGCGCUUACCACGGCGGUGUUCGUGACUGGGGUGAAGUCGAAACACGGUA